rnacentral:rRNA from 1 species
GACGAACGCUGGCGGCGUGCUUAACACAUGCAAGUCGAACGGAAAGGCCCUGCUUUUGUGGGGUGCUCGAGUGGCGAACGGGUGAGUAACAUGUGAGUAACCUGCCCUUGACUUUGGGAUAACUUCAGGAAACUGGGGCUAAUACCGGAUAGGAGCUCCUGCUGCAUGGUGGGGGUUGGAAAGUUUCGGCGGUUGGGGAUGGACUCGCGGCUUAUCAGCUUGUUGGUGGGGUAGUGGCUUACCAAGGUUUUGACGGGUAGCCGGCCUGAGAGGGUGACCGGCGACAUUGGGACUGAGAUACGGCCCAGACUCCUACGGGAGGCAGCAGUGGGGAAUAUUGCACAAUGGGCGGAAGCCUGAUGCAGCAACGCCGCGUGCGGGAUGACGGCCUUCGGGUUGUAAACCGCUUUCGCCUGUGACGAAGCGUGAGUGACGGUAAUGGGUAAAGAAGCACCGGCUAACUACGUG